rnacentral:lncRNA from 1 species
AGCCGGGACGACAAAAAACAUGCAAAAAGACCAAAAUACUUUUCAAGUUCGAAGUUGAUGAUCAUCUGGGAAGCGGGGGUAUGUGGCAAAGAAAAGUCAAAAAGAUCUUGGAUGUUUGGUAGUGGGAAAAGCGCUGUCAAGGUCACCUUACAAUUAAAGAUACCAGAGACCUGUGUCAAAAGUUUCUCACUAACGAGAAUAAAGAAAAUUAAUUAGAUAAUUCCGAUGGCUGCAAGGAUUAGGUGGUGAUGUCAUAAUGGUGCUGCAAAGGUUAAGUGAAUAACCCUAAUGGUUUAGUAAGAGUUGGUGAACACUUGUUGGUAACUAUGACUGUAAAAAAAUGUGUCAAGUU